rnacentral:rRNA from 1 species
GACGAACGCUGGCGGCAUGCCUAAUACAUGCAAGUCGAGCGAACAGAUGAAGUGCUUGCACUUCUGACGUUAGCGGCGAACGGGUGAGUAACACGUAAGGAAUCUACCUAUAAGCGGGGGAUAACAUUCGGAAACGGGUGCUAAUACCGCAUAAUAUCUUCUUCCGCAUGGAAGAAGAUUGAAAGACGGCCCUGCUGUCACUUAUAGAUGACCUUGCGGUGCAUUAGUUAGUUGGUGGGGUAACGGCCUACCAAGACGAUGAUGCAUAGCCGACCUGAGAGGGUGUACGGCCACAUUGUGACAGGGACACGACCCAAACUCCCACGGGAGGCAGCAGUGGGGAAGCUUCCGCAAUGGGCUAAAUCCUGACGGAGCAAGGCCGCGUGAGUGAAGAAGGCCUUCGGGUCGUAAAACUCUGUUAUAAGAGAAGAACAAAUUGUAUAGUAACUGCUGCAGUCUUGACGGUAUCUUAUCAGAAAGCCACGGCUAACUACGUGCCAGCCGCCGCAGUAA